rnacentral:tRNA from 1 species
GAGGGUAUAGCUCAAGUGGUAGAGCACAUUCUUAGCAUACAUGAGGUCCUGGGUUCAAUCCCCAGUCCCUCU